rnacentral:rRNA from 1 species
UACGUAGGUGGCGAGCGUUGUCCGGAUUUACUGGGCGUAAAGAGCGCGCAGGCGGUCGUGCAAGUCGCGUGUGAAAGCCCCCGGCUCAACUGGGGAGGGUCACGCGAUACUGCUCGACUCGAAGGCAGGAGAGGGAAGUGGAAUUCCCGGUGUAGUGGUGAAAUGCGUAGAGAUCCGGAGGAACCCCAGAGGCGAAGGCGGCGUCCUGGCCCAUUUCUGACGUUCAGACAUGACAGCAUGGGGAGCGAACGGG